rnacentral:rRNA from 1 species
AUGAAGCACAAAUUUGGGUGGGUGUUUAACAAGCCUGUUGAUCCUGUUGCACUUGGGUUGCAUGACUAUUUUGCCAUUAUUAAGCACCCGAUGGAUCUUGGCACUAUAAAGGGGCAGCUUACUCGUGGGCAUUACAGGGACCCAAAGGAGUUUGCUAAUGAUGUACGGCUAACAUUCCAUAAUGCCAUGACGUAUAAUCCCAAAGGGCAGGAUGUGCAUUUCAUGGCUGAGCAAUUGUUAGGAAUUUUUGAAGCUCAGUGGCCUGAGAUUGAGGCUGAGGUUGACUACCUUGCGUCAUGCCCACCUUUGCCGAAGAAGUUUCCACCUCCCCCGAUAGACUUGCGCUUACUAGAGAGGUCAGAUUCCUUAAAGCACCAUAUGGUGCUGGACUCCAAGUCAAGGCCGAUAAGUCAUACUCCUAUUAGUGUCCGCACUCCAUCAUUGAAGAAGCCGAAGGCAAAGGAUCUGGAUAAAAGAGAUAUGACGAUAGAUGAGAAGCGUAAACUUAGCAAUAACCUUCAGAACUUGCCUCCUGAAAAGCUUGAUAUUGUUGUGCAGAUCAUUAAGAACAAGAAUCUUUCAGUUAGGCAGCAUGAAGAUGAGAUUGAGGUUGAGAUAGAUAGCAUGGAUGCGGAGACACUUUGGGAACUUGAUAGAUUUGUUGCUAACUUCAAGAAGAACCUGAGCAAGCAAAAGAGGAAGGCUGAGCGUGCAAUGCUUGCAAGGCAAGAUGUAGAGUUGCGUGCUCUGCAUGCUGCACAACAAACAAGUCAACAACCUAAUAUUGGUGAAAAAUCUCCAAAGCUAAAUUUGAUGGUGGGCGAGCAAUUAGCACCUUCUGUGCCAGACCAAAAUAAUAAUAAUGGACCGAGUGCCAGUAGAUCUAGCAGCUCAAGCAGCACCAGCAGUGAUUCAGAUUCCUCUUCUAGUGGUUCAGGACUCCGUCUAAUAGACAAUAACUGUCUAAUUGUAUUUGGCAUGAGAAUGCCUUAG